AACUGAUACUACCUGCGGGAACCUGCGGAGGGAUCAUUAUUGAAAAGCUUUGGAGAUACUGCUGCUGGUCUUUUAACAAGGCAUGUGCACGUAUCUCUAAUCCUAUUCAUCCACCUGUGCACUUUUUGUAGAAGUUCUUAGUAGGAUUGGCUUAUAGGUUUCUGACCUUGUAGUUGAUUUGAAAGGCUUCUAUGUUUUUACAAACCAUAUAAGCAUGUCUAGAAUGUUCUUUUUAUUGGG
rnacentral:misc_RNA from 1 species